rnacentral:rRNA from 1 species
UACGAAGGGGGCAAGCGUUGUUCGGAAUUACUGGGCGUAAAGCGCACGUAGGCGGCUUCGUAAGUAAGAGGUGAAAGCCUGGUGCUCAACACCAGAACUGCCUUUUAGACUGCAUCGCUUGAAUCAUGGAGAGGUGAGUGGAAUUCCGAGUGUAGAGGUGAAAUUCGUAGAUAUUCGGAAGAACACCAGUGGCGAAGGCGGCUCACUGGACAUGUAUUGACGCUGAGGUGCGAAAGCGUGGGGAGCAAACAGG